AUGGAUCCUGGGGAGCUGGGGGUGGAUGGAUCCUGGGGAGCUGGGGGUGGAUGGAUCCUCUGGAGCUGGGGAUGGAUGGAUCCUGGGGAGCUGGGGAUGGAUGGAUCCUCUGGAGCUGGGGAUGGAUGGAUCCUGGGGAGCUGGGGAUGGAUGGAUCCUCUGGGAGCUGGGUGUGGAUGGAUCCUGUGGGAUCUGAGGGUGGAUGGAUCCUGUGGGAGCUGGGGGUGGAUGGAUCUUCUGGAGCUGGGGGUGGAUGGAUCCUGUGGAGCUGGGGAUGGAUGGAUCCUGUGGAGCUGGGGAUGGAUGGAUCCUCUGGAGCUGGGGAUGGAUGGAUCCUGUGGGAGCUGGGGAUGGAUGGAUCCUGUGGGAUCUGAGGGUGGAUGGAUCCUGUGGGAUCUGAGGGUGGAUGGAUCCUGUGGAGCUGGGGGUGGAUGGAUCCUGGGGAGCUGGGGAUGGAUGGAUCCUGUGGAGCUGGGGACGGAUGGAUCCUGUGGAGCUGAGGGUGGAUGGAUCCUCUGGAGUUGGGUGUGGAUGGAUCCUGUGGGAUCUGAGGGUGGAUGGAUCCUGUGGAGCUGGGGGUGGAUGGAUCCUGGGGAGCUGGGGAUGGAUGGAUCCUGUGGGAGCUGGGGAUGGAUGGAUCCUGUAGGAUCUGAGGGUGGAUGGACGCUCUGGGAGCUGAGGACAAGGCUGCACGCUGUUCUGGGAGGUGUCACUGGCACCAGGGCUGGUUCCAGGAGCCCUGGGCGCGUUUGGGAGCCCAGAGCAGCCCCAGCAGCCCAGCCCUGCCAAGCUGCAGAGUCACUUCCCCAAGUGACGGGGACACAGGCGGAGCUGCCCUCGGAGCCUGCAGGGCACAGACACCUCCUGCCACCUCCUGCCACCUCCUGCCACCUCCUGCCACCUCCUGCCACCUCCUGCCACCUGCUCUGGGCACAGGGCUGGCCAGGACAGCAUGUGAGAGCCCCAGGCAGCACGGACCAGGGCCGAGCAGCCAAGGGAGCCUCGCCACAAGCUGUUCCAGAGGAGGAUGGAGAACCCACUGCUUUUAUUCCCCCAGCUCAACGUUUCUGCUUCUGA
rnacentral:lncRNA from 1 species